rnacentral:lncRNA from 1 species
GGGAAGUCCGGCCUCUUCUGUUUACGUUACCUGGCAAGAUGGCGGCGCCCAGAGCGUUUCUGCACCUGGGUGCCCGAGAAUGGCAUGGGAGAGCCAGGGGCACCCACAGCAUGAGUGGGUUGGCGACCCCAGACAGCAAUCGGGAGAAGAAAAGAACACUGCUGCAGUUCCUCUCAGACCACUUCCAUGACGUCCAGACUCUGAGAGAGUACUUGCUCCAGAAACAGAUCUCAAAAGUCAGCAUGGAGAAUCGAUCCUACAGGAAGAUCCAGGAGAGAUACGGCCCAUACAUCACAGGUUUCAGGGCAGGGAUUGGAUCCGGCCAAAUGACCGUGGCCAUUCUAUUGCCGAGCUCCAGAAGGUGCCUGUGGAGGCUGUGGAUGCCAGUGGCUGUGCCAUCAACUACCAGGGCCUCAGUAACCUCUUGCCCCUGAAGGAGCUGCAGUUCCUGUCCCUUCAGCGCUGCCCCAACUUGGAUGACUGGUGCCUCAGCCGCCUCUACCUACUGGCUGGUUCACUGCAGGAGCUCUCUCUGGCUGGGUGCCCCAGAAUCUCAGAACGAGGCCUUGCCUGUCUCCACCACCUCCAGAACCUCCGCAGGCUGGACAUCUCAGACCUCCCUGCCGUGUCCCACCCAGGUCUUACUCAGAUCCUAGUGGAAGAGAUGUUGCCCCAUUGUGAGGUCCUUGGAGUUGAUUGGGCCAAGAGUCUGAAGCUGGGGCCAGACGAUCAACCUCCCGACACAUCUAGUCCUCUCUCUUCCUAGCCUGUGGCCUGGCUCUUGAAGAGUCU